rnacentral:rRNA from 1 species
CCUACGGGUGGCAGCAGUGAGGAAUAUUGGUCAAUGGGCGCGAGCCUGAACCAGCCAAGUAGCGUGAAGGAUGACUGCCCUACGGGCUGUAAACUCCUUUUAUAAAGGAAUAAAGGGAGGCAAGUGUGCCUUUUUGCAUGUACUUUAUGCAUAAGGAUCGGCUCACUCCGUGCCAGCAGCCGCGGUAAUACGGAGGUUCCGAGCGUUAUCCGGAUUUCUGGGGUUUAAAGGGGGCGUAAAUGGGUUGUUAAGUCAGUUGUGAAAGUUUGUGGCUCAACCGUAAAAUUGCAAUUGAUACUGGCAGUCUUGAGUACAGUUGGGGUAGGCGGAAUUCGUGGUGUAGCGGUGAAAUGCUUAGAUAUCACGAAGAACACCGAUUGCGAAGGCAGCUUACUAAACUGUCACUGACAUUGAUGCUCGAAAGUGUGGGUAUCAAACAGGAUUAGAUACCCCAGUAGUC